CUAUCCCUUGGAUCUGUCCCUUAUCCCCAUGAUCCAUUUUCCCCUCCCCAGGGACCCCACACCCCCUCCUCGCCCUUCUUCCCCACACAUUUUCACCACGGACCCCUCGAGUAACGGUGAGUGGCAGCCCUUGGGGACAGCACGGUGCCCACAGAGCAGCAAUGAUGGGGAUGAGUUUGUCCCCACAGUCCUGCCGGGGACACCGAGUGCUGAGGACGUGCUGUACUCCACCAUCACCAUCAGAGAGCACAGAGGGGGUGUGCCCCCAUGUGGUCACUCAGCCCCCCAAGAGGCUGCUGUCACCUACACAGCACUGCAUGCUGCCUGCAGUGCCACCAACCUCCGGGGGAUGCAGCAUCCCCUAAGUGACAGCUAUGAGAACCUCCCUUGCAAAUAAAUGGCAGUCAUUCAUUGCCCCAAAUGUCUGUUUUUUUACCCUAAAUCUCCUUCCAAUCCUGACGCUCACCCGCUCAGCCCCUUCUGUCCCAUUGCAAAACGGGGCCAUUCCUCUCAUUUCCCCCAAAACCACCCCCAGCACAGCAGGGGAGAAGCGUGGAGGGCAUUGCUUUCACCCCUAAAGUGGCAUUUUGGGGCUAUUUGGGGUGAAAAUGGCAUUUUCCCUCCUAAGUCCCCAUCCGAAGUGACAGCUAUGAGAACCUCCCCUCUGUGUGAAAACGGGGGAUCCAGGUGACACAAAGUGCCGGCCGUGUGCUGUGCUCCACGUGUGGACACGCAGUACACAAAGUGCUCAUAUAGCAAAUCCCAAUUAUACAAUAUCCAAGCAUCUUCUGAAUGCCUGGUUUGUAUCCUAAAUCCCUUUUGCUUUUGCAGCUCGGAAAGCAAAUGGGAUCCUGGGUUCCAUCAGAAGAGGGGUGGCCAGCAGGGACAGGGAGGUGAUUGUCCCUCUCUGCUCUGCUCCUGUGAGGCCCCACGUGCAGCACUCUCCCAGCUCCAUCCAGACAGGGAGCUGUUGGAGGGGGUCCAAAGGAGCCACAGAGAUGAGCAGGGCUGCAGCACCUCCCUGCAAAGACAGGCUGAGGGAGCUGGGCUUGUUCAGCACGGAGAAGAGAAGCUGCGGGGUGAAUCAUUGCAGCCUGCAGUACUAAAGGGAGCCCAAAAACAGGAGGGGAGUCAGCUCUUGGGAAGGGGAGAUGAGAGCAGGACGAGGGGAAAUGGCUGGAAUUGAGGGAGGGCAGAUUUCAGUUGGGUGUCAGGGGGAAGUUGUUUGCUGUGAGAGUGGUGAGGUGCUGGAACAGCUGCCCAGAGAGGCUGUGGAUGG
rnacentral:lncRNA from 1 species